AGAAGCCCGCAGCUGCAGUUUUUUUCCCUUCACCUGACAGGUCUGUUUUUUAAUCCAAAGGAUUUGUCCAAGUGACGCCUGCGCCCAGCAAAACCUCGGAAAAAUACAAAGAAUGUAAUAAUAAUGGUUCUAGUAAUAAUUUAACCAGCGCCUAUUUGCCAGGCCUCUUUUUUGUUUUUAAUGUUUAUUUAUUUUUGAGAGACAGAGAGAGAAUCCAAAAUAGGCUCCACACAGUCAGCACAGAUGCCAGGCUUCUUCUUGAAUCCUUCCAACCACACUGGAGGAAAAGAGGACCGAGGCGCCCAGUGUCCACGGUAACCCCCAGGGGGCGCGCGUGGUCCAGAUCGGAGACGCCAGAACAAUCCUGGACCGCGCCCGCUGCGAGCGCACUUCAUUCUAGGGCAAAAGCCCCAGCUCAGGUGCAAAUACUGGCUGUUAGAGGAUCCGGUGCUAACUUUGGGGGAACCCCUCCCUCACUCCCUGUGGUUUUGGGGCUCACCAGUCAAGGUGGCCCCAUCUCUCUCACCCCACGAGCUGGACCAAUCACAGUCCUUCCUGGAUCUUCUUGACAGAAUCUAGGAGGCAGGCUUUCUUUCUGCUGGGCUUGCUAAACUGGCCAGAGAUGACCCUUGUGCUGUCCAGUUCCAUCACACCCACCCAGCAGAGAAAGCCCGAGUGACAAAGAGAGAGAGCCGCAAUGAUAUCAUUCAAGCCCCUAGAUCCAGACGGACCUGAAGCUAGACCCACUCCUAAUCUGUCCACGGGAUUCACUUGCACAUUGCUAAGAAAACCUUUUCUCAUGACAGUAUCAGAAGUAAAAGAAAUAGAAGUAGGUAAGUAAAGUCCCCUACCUCCUGAGUGUGUAAGUUACAGGGCCAAACAUGAUCCAGUUCUUGCAUAUUUAGUAAUUUUCAAAUGUCCCAAAGCUUGCAGUGCUUUAAAUUCACUGCCUUCUCCUUUUCCCACAUAGUAGCUAAAGCCUCCCAAAUUUCCCUUCUCUCUCUAUAAUCUCCACCUUUCCAUCUCCACCACCCCUACCUUUACCCAGGUAAGGUAAAGGUCAACAACUUCAAAAAUACGUAUUGCAACUAUAGGUAGGUGGGUCCCCUCAAUCCGGCCUUUAACUUCACCCCGCAUCCUGUUUCUGUCUUCCUAAACCAUGGUGCAACCCUAGUUUAGUAAACAAACAUGGUUCACCAUUUCCCACCACAUCGUUUUACUUCCUUGGCCUUUUUCAAAGGUUCUCCAUAACCUGUAUCCACCCCUAAUGGGCAGGUCUGGCUGCAUAAUUUGGGGGGUUCAGUGCAAAUUAAAAUUGUAGGACUAUUGGGCCAAAAAUUAUUAAGAUUUUCAAAAUGGCAGCAGCAGAGCAUCAAACCAAGUAUGGGGCCGUUCUGAACACAGGGUCCUGUGUAACUACAGGGGGUGCAUUGUGCCCACAAAGUUGGCCAUGCCAACAGUCACCCAUCACUGUAGAGAGGCCACCAUUCUUGCUGUCCAGCUUCCGAGUCUUCUUACAUGUUGUUUCCUCACCUGGAACACCGUCCUCCCAACACCCAGCUCCUGCCCACAUUAAGCUUUAGUCUUUUCACAGACCUAUUCAUGUAGAGGCAACGAGUUGAGAGUUGGUCUUUACAUAUGUCUGAUCCAUCCCCUCCUAUAGCUUAUAGUAGUCCUGACCAUCUACAAAUCUACAAACGUUAAUUUAGACCUUAAUUAUAUGCUUCCAUGUGUUAUUGUCUUACUGCUUCAUUCAUUCAUUCAUUCAUUCAUUCACCAGAUAUUGUAUGCCAAAUAUUUGCCAUGACUUUGCUAGGCACUGGGUAUAGUAAGUCCCAAAACAGCAGAAACCUUGUUUUACUUGUUCAACAUUCCAUCCCCAUAGUCUCACAUAGUGAUGGGCUUGUGGCAGAUACUGAACAAAUUGUUGUUGAAUAACUGUUAACCAGUAUUUUCUCUCCAUCAUAUAGUGAGCUCCUAGAGACCAAGAACUGUUUUUAUUUGUUCCAAGACUGCUGAUUGAGAACCCGCUAUGUGCCACAUAUUGUUCCAGACACAACACUGUUCUAGACAACUUUCUUUACUUCUUCUAUAUUUCCUAGCACAUUAUUAUAAGUGAACAUUUCCUGAUCAUUUUGUAUUUGCCAGGAAUUAGUCUAAGCCUUAUCCAUUAUCUCAUUUAAUUCCCCCAAUGAUUCUAUGAAAUAGGUCCCAUUUUAUCCCCAUUUUAUAGAUGACAAAAUCGAGGCUCAAAGAGAUUAAAGAACUGACCCAAAGUCAAAGACCUAUUGGGGUUUGAACCCGGGUGACCAGACUCUACAUUGCUAGGCUGCCUCCAAUGAGUACUUUUUGAUUGACUGACUUGACUGAAAUAGAGAGCUCAAGGAAGAGUAGUAUUGGUGGCUCAAUACACCAUCAAAUAGGGGCUGUGUCCUGUAAAACCACUGUUAGGCAAUUUCUUGACCAACACCAGAUACAAUAGGUGUAUGGUUCUUUGCAAGCUUGUAAUGUGGUAAAUAGGACAUAAAUUGUGGCAUCAUUUACUUCAUCAUAUGAACUUCCAGUCAUAAAAUGCUAAAUAAAGGAGAUGCCCACUAGGCUAUCCAAGGAUGCCUGGAAGAAGAGACCAGACAUGAAGCUCCUAAAUGUUAACUCUUUACUAGACAGAAGAUUCAGUUUUCGAGCUAAGUCUUCUCUGAUAUCAAUGCCAGGAUAGCAGUUUACUCUAAAGACAUUUUCCAACACUUCAAUCUAUGAAUAAGAUACAAGUUUAUGUGAAGAUCAUAUGUAACCACCUGCAAGUAACUUAAAAGCAUGACUGUUCAAACUAAAAGGAAGAAUUUCUCUUCCCAGCAGGGUUGUUUCAAAGAACAGAGCGUGAUUCACUGUAUUUUCUUAAAGAAGAAUUUCCCUGUGUUGAUUUUUUGAGGGGCUGGGAAGUCUUCACGAAGACAAUAAGAUUUGUGAAAAAUAACCAAGAACAGAAUAUUUUCAUUUCAUCCUCCUAAGAAAACUUGAAAUUAAAACAGAAAUGCAGCUGCUAAUUGGGAAGAUCGUGAAGUAAGCACACCCUCAGAUAGUGCAAUAUUUUUAGUCCUUGUACUCUGUGGCUCCUCUUUUUCCAGUACCUUCUUGAGGAUAAAUUUAAGAGUUCAACUUUAUCCAGGAUUUAAACAACUAUGAGACAAUUCUUCAGGGAAGAGGAAAAGUAGUCUCCACUCAUAGAGGAAAUGGACUCUACAGAAUGGAGCUCAGCUUCAUCUGAUUUUAUCCUAUCAUGAGGUACAAAUAUUGAACUAAAUUCCUCUUUAAGCAACUUCUAGAAUGAACAAAGGAUUCACAUACAAAACAUCAACAGGCACACAGAAGGAUGGGUUUUUAAAUACAGGUGUAAAGCCAUUGUAAGAAUGAACAAACUAGUAAACAUUUAAUGCCUCAUGGAGGUUUUGCCUCUAGCGUCUUGGAAUGUAGACUGUGUGAAGGAGGGUGACCUUACCCUGAGGAAGACUUGGAGGAAGAGAGAGAAUUCAAGACCUUCACAGAUUCCUUUCUCUUGAGACAUUCAUCCAUCCACCUGUUCAUUCCACUAUUGGUUGAGCAUCUACUCAGUACCAGAAAGAACAGGAUCCUUGCCCUCAUGAAGCUCACAGUGGUAUCGGGUGGGGUGGGGGUGGGGAGCAAACAAUAUUUGUAACAGUAAUUAUAAGUCAGUAAAUUACCUCAUAUGUUAACUGGUGAUAAAAAUGGAAAAAGGAAGCGGUGAGCCAGGUAAGCUGGCUCAUCAGUGCAGGAGGUGGAGAUCCUGAAAUCCUAACCCCACAGAUUAGUGCCCUAGUGCACAAAUUGCAAUGCUCCUAUAGCACACACUGAAGCAACUCUAAUCCCCAAUUUCUUCUUUAUCAACAAGGACAUUCCAAUAUCUUUACUGUUUGAGUUGACUUUAUCUGGACUUACAUAAUACCAUUUUAUAUAUGGAUGGUAGAUGAAAAUAAAAGGCAGGAAAGAAUUUCUCUAAAAAUAUCAGGGAAACAUUUUCUUAUAUAUUUAUUCAACAAAUUUUAUAGAGCACUUACUAUGUGCUAGACACCAUUCUAGGUGCUAGAUAUGAGUGAUGAACAAGGUAAUUUCAGAGAGGGAUAAACUCACUGAGAGGAAGAAACAAAAUGUCAGCCUCUCCCAUUUACUACCUUUUGCCUUAUUAUGUUUUAUAUCUGUUUAUUAUGUUUGUUUUCUAUUAUCUGUUUCCUAUCUCUAGAAUUUUUGUCUUUUUGUUCAUUCCCUAGCAUCCAAAAACAGUGCUUGGCUCAUACUAGAUGAAAGAAUCUCAUUGUUUCUUUUUGCAUUCCUUCAAGUAAAGUUGGGCAUUUAUUUCUUCA